AGCAUGGUGUAGUGGUUUGAGCAUUAGACUAUGACUCUGGAGACCAGGGUUCGAAUCCCAGCUGGGUUA